UGCUGGGAUUCUGUAGGACCUAAGAUGGGCUUCCAGAGAUUUUUGAAGAAACACACAGAAGUUCCAAGCUCACUCUCAAAGGCAGCAAGCAUUCAAGCAGAGGCAAGCCGGGUUCUUCCAGAGCAGAAGAACAGUUCACAUCCUCGGUCUUCCCCACCCACCGGCUGUGUGCAGAGGGCCUCACGUGAUGCAUGAGUGCUUGUCUGUGCAUCGUGUGUGUCCGUGACGCCUGCGGAGGCCAGAAGGGAGUGUUGGAUGCCCUGGAACUGGAGAUACCAUGGUAAAGAACUGCUUUGGGGGGUGCUAGAAACCGAACCCAGGUCCUCUGAGAGAAUAGUGGGUGCUCUUAACUGCUGAGCCAUCUCUCAAGCUGUUUGUUUUUCAACAGGGAUCUGAGGAGAAGGUCUGGGGGUCCCAUAGCUAGGUGGCUCCAGCCCAGAAUAGUGAAUGGAAACACUGAGCUAAGUCCCAGUCACAGGAGGCUGGAGAACCAGAAGCACACCUUAGCCAGGGGACACUAGCCUCCAGCUUUCAAAGACCAAACAGCUGUGGACAAGAGCAGGCUCCCCAAAGCCUCGCUGAGGGACGAGUGUGUUCAGCAGACACCUCCCUUCCUUGUAUGCACAUCUCUGUGCAGACUUUUAUCAAACCCCACCUCCUCUGUCUUGCCCUGUGCUGUUCUGACUCAGACGUUUUUUCGGUGGGACUAGCCUCCUCAUUGAUCCCCCAGAACCCCUCAGUUCAGCAGCUGCUUAGGCGGAUGGAUUCAGCUCCCAGCUAGCUGACUUCCCAGCAGAGCGUCCUGCCCUGUGGCCUUUUGUUACUUUGAGACAGGGUCUGGCUAUGUCGAUUUGGUUGACCUGGAAUUCGCUAUGUAAACCAGCCCAGCCUCAAACUUGCAAGCAAUCGUCCUGCUCCCGACCUACGGAGCGCUGGCAUGACAGUGUGCGACCGUGCCUAGCAGACUUCUUUAUAUUAAACAUUACCUUCCCCAACCUUCCAUCUUUUUACAUUUUACACUGAGUCUUGAGUUGUUCUCCUUCCCAAGAAGUAACUGCCACUUGAGGCCAGCCCACGGCACCCUAAAGACCGCGUGCUCUAUUCCCUCCACGACAGGACUGGGGAACUUGAGACAGUGUCCUCCUCUAGACACCAUUCUUGUGUCCCAGCCUGGCCACAGGUACCAUGAGGACCGGACAUCACUGUCUCCUUGUCUCUAGACCCUGGGUCUGACUGGUGUUCAGCACCCAGUGGGAUGGAGCAAACCUGUCCAACAAGCGAAGGAAAGACAGAGCCAUCCAGAUGACGCUGCCUAGUUCCAAAGUCAGCCCAGCGCCUGGGCUGCUCAGGCUGGAACGGACAGCUGUAUUGUUUGCCUUUUAUAGAAAGUUUCUGGGGUUUUCUGCUUGAGGAAAAUCUAAUCCGUAUGCUUCUGACUCAUGUGUGUUCUUCCCCGUAAAACUGUGGUUCUAGGGGGCCAUUUCGUGUCUGAAACUAAAACCCGGUCUCUUCCAUGGUCCCGUUUUCCUCCUGUGGGCGUCGUCGGAAAGUUUGUCUACACUCAGAGUGACUCAGGGCAAGUCCCUUAACCCUCCAGGUGAGUGGGGAACGGCAGAGCCCCAGGGGGAGGUCCCCUAGCUCCAUUCCCUCCCCCCAUCACUAGGAAGGGCAGGGAGCCAGGAGCAGCCCCUGGCUGUGAGGCCCUGGCUGGGCAGAGGGGCACAGAGCCACGCAACAUGAAAGGGGUUUGGGUGGGGCUGCCAGGGACGUCAAUCAGAUAAAUAUUUCAUAAUGAGCACUUAAAAGGAAGGGGGCGGGCAUCCGCUGACCACCCCACCCGCUCCCCUCCACUUUCAAGUUCCCUACCCCGUCAUUAGCAGUGUGGAUGUUGAAUGACAGCCGUCUUAAAAGGCCGUUGCCAGCGUGGGCAAGUUGGCUCUUGGAAGGGUGAGUCGGUAAUUACACCUGUCCCUGGGUUUCUAAUGCUCACUGCACCCAGGAAAGUUGGGGGAAGCAUGACUUGAGGAGUUUCCGCUGCUCGGACCCUAAGCACAGGGUCGGGGCAGCUUUGAGGGCUCCCUCCAAUUCUAUAUGCUGCCACCACCUCCUGAGUGUUGGGAUUUCAGGGGUGCACGGCCGGGGGCUGUUUCGGCGGUGCUGGGGACUGGAUGCAGGGCUUCCUGUAUGCAAGCGAACACUCGGCAUUCCUGUUUGACUUUGCAGGGAAUGCGUGUCAGACUGUGAGGAUACUGGAAAUGCAGCCUCCAGUGACAUAAGCACAUCCUUCUUUUCCCCAGAGGAGCUGGAAGGGAUCCUGGUCUUAAUCCCAACACAGAUCCGGGGCUUACAGAGAUCCCCCAGGGACAGCAGCCACUAAGCCUGGUGAGCCUCCAGGGUUUCUCUGGCUGGCCUCAAACUCACAGAGAUCUGACUGCCUCAGCCUCCCAAGUGCUGUGAUUAAAGGCAUAAGCCACCACCAGUAAAGUGGCUCCAGGCUCCAGUAGUCUGAUUUAAAAAAAAAAAAAGAUGGAGGGCACUGGCUCAUCUUCCAAAGGACCCAGGUUCAAUUCCCAGCGCCCAGGUAGCACCUCUUCUCUCCUUUUCCUACUUCUCCUUCCUCCUCUCCAAUUCCACCCCCUUGCACAGACAUACAUGCAGGCAGAACGCCAAUGCACAUAAAAUAAAUAAAUCAUUUUUAGAAAUGUUGGAUGGGGGAGGGGCUGUGGACCCAGGGGGAGUGGGCUGGCUGUCUUGGUUUGCAGAUGGACCAGGUAAGGCCGAGCAUGUGUCACUGAAAGCUCAGCGUGCAGUGCGGGGAACCCAAGGGAUUCCUGCACCCUCUGCUUGUGUGGAGUCACUCGACCUCCCUAUCCUAUCAGAGAGAGCCUGGCAAGGAGAAUGCGGACCGAGCUCUCUGGAGUUUAGUUUCCACCAUCCGCCAUUUUCUUCCCUCUGCAGGGCCCGUGCCCUCCGCCGGGUCUCGCAGUCCCUACCUUCCGCACCACCGUCCCCCAGGCCCCUGCACAAAGCUGAGUUAUCUCAGACUGCACGGUGGAAGUGCGCAGCAAUGCACGCACUGAACCCGGCUGAGGCCAUCAGAAAGAUCUACUAACCCAGGUUGUGACGGGAGGUAAUUUGCAUGUCCUAAUAUUCAGAAGGGUGGGAACAGCACUGACACUUGAGCAAAUAAAACCUCAUUUGCAAAUUU